CUGGAGAGGCAGUCACCAUUUUCCCUCUGUGGGUCCUUCUCCUGUGCAGCCAGCAGAUCUCCUGAGGACUGAACCAUUCUUGAGGUGUUGACAAAAUCGUGUGUCUGUGCUUGCAUUUCCGAGGACCAACCACACCACAGAAUAUAAUGAGUUCACCAAGCUGGAAGUUUCUGUGCCUUGGCAAAUUGCCAUACUUCUAAGUUUGGAUCAGCUUUCAACAUUUUAUGCUUUCAACUUUCAAUAUGGUGAAAUAUCUUGGAGAGUUCCUUUGUUUGUGAAGUUUUUUGCCAGCGUUCCCUCAUCUUGGAAAUUUCAUGCUUUGGUCACAAGCACUUUCUUCAUUUAUUUCGAUACGAUGGCCCUCACUGACGAGCUAUGACUGCCUAUCCAGAAUGUCUCCAAUGGCACAAGGUCAGCAUUUCCUUGGUGCACUAAUUCUCAUAGCUUCAUUUAAUGCCAUUCAAAUUUCAUUUCCGACGUUAUCACUUUUCUUCCUUUGCUGCACUUUAUCUUUAGUGACAAUCUUCCUCUUUCAGUUAUCCAUUUUUGUACAAUAUCACGUGGCUUUAUCACUGGGAGACAGGAGGCAACACACCUACACGCUCUGCCGUCCGUGCACGAACUGAAUGACAGAUGCGCAGUCACCGACCUGAACAGUCCUCAACAGACUUUGAAAGAAAGGACGCGAUUGGCCACUAAUGAUGUGCAUCUGUUACUUCUUUAGGGCUCUGAGGACUGAAGACCUAGCAGCACCGUUUGUAUUUUAUGUGAGUUCACAGUUAAUAUACUGUCGUAACUGAAAUUUGAACCGGAGUGUUGGAAGACUGAACUCCAGUAACUGAAAAUUGUGCAAAGUGACAACUGCUGGUAGUGGAAUGAAUAGAUGACUGAAUAAAUGACCUCUUGACUGUAGGGAAAUAUUUGUUCUCUAGAUAGUAAGGAGCAUUUUACAAAGUUUAUAUAUUCAAAGUAGCUGUUAGAAUAAUGUGGUGAGCAAAACGGACAUGAUUUUGACCCUCUGGAGCUUACAUUUUACGGGAAGAUAUAGGCAAAUACUAGUCCAAUAUAGCAUGAUAAGCAAUAUAAUGAGAAAAAUAUGAAAACACAUAGGAGGAACACUUAACUCUCUUUUUAACAAUCUGAGGGAAAAAUCCCGGGGGAAUAACAUUCUCACUGUGGUGUGGGAGGAAACCAAAUGAAGAGGGAUAAGCAUUUCAGGCAGAUGGAAGUCCCAGAGGUGAGAAGGAACUUAGUAAUUUCAUCGAUCUGAAGACGCUUCAUAUGCCUUGGACAUACAGGGGGAAGGAAGUGGUAGAAGAUGAGAACUAAUGAACAUAUCUAGGUGGGAGGGUCACAGUAAUAGGACUUGGAUGAAAAAUAAUGGUCAAUUAUACUCACGAUAAAAACCUUAAGUUAUAUGUCAAUUAAACUUCAAUAAAAAUUUUGAGAAAGAAAUAGUCAAGGGGUUAGAAUGGACGGAGGUGACUUAUAAGCGACAAAUCUUAGUUCCUUUUAGAAAGGUCAGGGCAUAUACACAUUCUCCAAAUUUUCCAAUGUAACACACAAUAGUGAAUGACCUCCUAGCAGUUGUCUCAGUGGGACUUUACUCAUUUGAUCUGUAAUAGAAAAUAAGCACAUCAAUUGACUUAUGUAAAAUUCAAGAAUGAUAUAAUUCCACAGAAAAUUGUGGGAUUUUUUCCCCCAAUAGAUUUAGUGAUACAAAGAAACUCUUUGUACUUAGACAAAAGUCUUGCAGAUCAAUUUGGCUUUGAGGAAAUCACCUAAAUGUUCUGGUAAUUUUUUAAACACAGGAAUGAUGGUUGUUCUUUUCUAACCUCAGAGCCAUAACAAGAGUGUUGUUGUUAUUUAAAUUCCUAGGAUGAAACAUGGAAUUCUUUCCUCUUAACAUCUACUACUUUUACUAUAAUAAUACUCAUCAGCUGUUAAUAAUGACUACACAUUUUUUCUUCCUCCUUAGUCUCCACUAAAGUAAAUGCAACAAAAUCCUAGCAAAGGAAUUUUUACAAUCCAUAAGCUGAUAGGAAUAGGAAGAGAAUAGGAAAGGAGAUGGUAGCAGAUAAGAGAUUACAACGAAUUUUUGGAAUCUGCAAAAUGAAUGUCGGAGUGUAACUGACUUAGCAUGGUAAAGAAAGAUCCAGCUUACGAUGUGUGCAAGGUGUGGACAAGCUGAGUGAGUGCUGAGCCAUUCUGCAAAUCUAUGGAGAGACUCUUGAAGGCAAAAGUAAGUGAAGUGAGGGGCUGAAAAGGGAAAGAUUGGCCCAUGAAAAAUUCCUCCACAGUCGCCACGUACUCUCUUUCAUAAUCCACUGGCAGAAUGGAGAGAACGCCAGGGAGCUAGAUAAGGGUGGGAGCCAUGAUAUGGUCAAGAGUGGGGUCCCUGAGGAACAUAUGGAAAGCUUGAAAGUGUGUAUGAGAGGUCAGUCAAUUUCGCAUCCCCCCACCCUUGAUAUAUGUACAACUCUGUAGAAUCUCUAGGAGGAACACAGAAGGCUUUUUCUCUGAGGAAUUGAAUAGGAACAAAUCAAGUCCCAAGGAUACCAGCUAAAGUGGACAGAGGAGUGACAAUAUUAGCAUACUGAGUUUCAUUCUAGCCACGGCGUAGGGUCAGGUUGAGUGGAAUGUAAAGGACAUAUCUACCAUUGAUUUCGCUUGUCUAAUGGCGUUGGCUAAAGCCUUGAGUCAUACAUUGAAUAGUAGUGGAGAUAGAGGACAUCCUGGCUUUGUAACUGAUCUUAGUGAAAACAUCUCUGGUGUUUCCCCUAUGAAAUAAGAUACUGGCUAAAGAAAUAGGCCAUAUGUAUUACAUCUUGUUAAGAAAGUACUCCUCAAUUCCUCUUUUCUUGAGUGUUGUUAUCAUGAAUCGGUGUUGACUUUUGUCAAAGUCUUUUUGGGCAUUGAUAGAGAUAAUUAUGGGUUUUUUCCCUUAGAUUUAGUAAUGUUAUGUGUGGUGUUGAUGCAUUUCCUAACACUGAGCCAAACUGUGUUCCUGGAAUAGAUUCCACUUGGCCAUGGUGUAUUAUUUUCUAAGGGUGGUGUUGGAUUCUUUUUGCUAAUAAUUCGUUUAGAAUUUUUCAAUUGAUAUUCAUGAGUGAUACAGAUCUAUAGGUUUUUUUCUUUGUACUUUCUUCAUCUGGCUGAGGUGUCAGUAUGAUACCUGCUUCUCAAAAAGAACUUGGAAGUUUUCAUUCAUUUUCAAGGCUCUGGAAUAAUUUAUAAAGUAUUAAGACUGUCUGGUCUUGGAAGACUUGGUAGAAUUCACCUGUGGAAUGACCAGGUUUUGUGCAUCUUUGUUGGGUGGAUUCUUAAUAACUGUCUCCAUUUUUUUCUGUGGAAAUUGGUUAAGUUUUCUAACUCUAAGGGGGCCACUUUAGGUAACAUAUAUUUCCCCAGGAAAUUAUCCAUUUAUUGUAGGUUUUCCAAUCUAUUACCUAGAGGUCAGCAAAAUAAUCUCUUACGACUUUUUAAAUUUCUUCUGUUUGAAAGGUUAUUUCCCCCUUGUCAUUUCUCAUUCUACAUAUUUGUAUUAAUACUUUCUUUUUUCUUAAUCAACCUAGUUAGUUGUUUGUCUGUUUCAUUAAUUUUUUUCCAUCAAAAACCCCCACAAAAAAACUCAACAGAGUUUUGAUUUAUUAAUUAGGAUUAGUCUUUUUCUGUUCUCUAUUUCAUUAGUUUCUGCUUUUAACUUUAAUAUUUUCUUCCUUGUGUUUCAUUUUAUUUUUACUGUUCUUCUUUUUCUAGGCUUUUGAACUGCCAAUUUAAAUCAGAAGCAUGCAGACAGAUUUAUGGAAGGGAAUGUAAAGAAAAGUUGAGUUUGCUGAUUUAGAGAGACAAGGUGAAAAUACACAGAAAUCAGGGGAAACUCUGCACUAAGUAAUUCUAAGACAGAGCAAGCAGUGUGGUGGCUCAGCGGAGGCAGGUGGGGAGAAGGCGCGGGGCUCACCCAGCUGUGUUUGUGGACUUCAUGUUCAGCAGCAGUUACGCGGCGGUCCACUGUUAAAAUCGUGGGUGGAUCGGUGGUGCUUCUGCACCACGCGCAGAAUUUCCUUGUUUACCAAUUCACUUAGGCUAAUUAGCCUUACAGCCAGAGCCGUGUACCUUUUUCAUAUAAAGAGGUACCUAGAGUAAAGCUGGGGCUCAAGGAGAGUUAUUGCUUAAUGGCGACAGAGUUUCAGUUUUGCAAAAUAAAAAGGGUUCUGGGGAUUGAUGGUGAU